rnacentral:rRNA from 1 species
UACGGGGGGGCAAGCGGUUGUUCGGAAUUACUGGGCGUAAAGGGCGCGUAGGCGGCCUGCUAAGUCGGAUGUGAAAUCCCUCGGCUCAACCGAGGAACUGCAUCCGAUACUGGCGGGCUUGAAUCCGGGAGAGGGAUGUGGAAUUCCAGGUGUAGCGGUGAAAUGCGUAGAUAUCUGGAGGAACACCGGUGGCGAAGGCGGCAUCCUGGACCGGUAUUGACGCUGAGGCGCGAAAGCUAGGGAAGCAAACGGG